ensembl:misc_RNA Metazoa_SRP Metazoan signal recognition particle RNA
GCCGGGUGCGGUGGCUCACACCUGUAUUCCCAGCACUGGGAGGCUGAGGCAGGUGGAUCACCUGAGGUCAGGAGUUCGAGACUAGCCUGGCCAACAUGGUGAAACCCUGUCUCUA